rnacentral:miRNA from 1 species
UGAUUCCAUAGAGCGCAUGU